UUGAAUUAAAUUUAAAGUCUAACCUGCCCACUGAAAUUUUUAAAUGGCCGCAGUAUUCUAACUGUGCAAAGGUAGCAUAAUCAUUAGUCUUUUAAUUGAAGGCUGGAAUGAAUGGUUGGACGAAAUAUUAACUGUUUCAUUUAAAAUUUUUGUAGAAUUUUAUUUUUUAGUCAAAAAGCUAAAAUAAAUUUAAAAGACGAGAAGACCCUAUAAAUCUUUAUAUUUUAUUUAUUUUAAUUAUAAAGAUUAUUUUUGUUAUAAUAAAUUAAAAUAUUUUAUUGGGGUGAUAUUAAAAUUUAAAAAACUUUUAAUUUUUAAAACCAUUAAUUUAUGAGUAAUUGAUCCAUUAGUAAUGAUUAAAAAUUUAAGUUACUUUAGGGAUAACAGCGUAAUUUUUUUGGAGAGUUCAUAUCGAUAAAAAAGAUUGCGACCUCGAUGUUGGAUUAAGAUAUAAUUUUGGGUGUAGCCGUUCAAAUUUUAAGUCUGUUCGACUUUUAAAUUCUU
rnacentral:rRNA from 1 species